UGAGAUAAAGCCCAAUGGCACCUGUGAGC
rnacentral:piRNA from 1 species